rnacentral:rRNA from 1 species
CGAACGGGUGAGUAACGCGUGAGGAACCUGCCUCAAAGAGGGGGACAACAGUUGGAAACGACUGCUAAUACCGCAUAAGCCCACGGCUCGGCACCGAGCAGAGGGAAAAGGAGUGAUCCGCUUUGAGAUGGCCUCGCGUCCGAUUAGCUAGUUGGUGAGGUAACGGCCCACCAAGGCGACGAUCGGUAGCCGGACUGAGAGGUUGAACGGCCACAUUGGGACUGAGACACGGCCCAG